rnacentral:rRNA from 1 species
GAUCUCAAAUGAAGCAAGAGUACCCGCUGAACUUAAGCAUAUUAUUAAGCGGAGGAAAAGAAACUAACAAGGAUGCCCUCAGUAACGGCGAGUGAAGCGGGCAAGCUCAACCUGAAAAUCUGGCAUCCAAACGGGUGUCUGAAUUGUGGGCUAGAGACGCGUGAUCAGUGUGUGACCCAGGCAUAAAUCUUUUGAAACAAGGUAUCAUAGAGGGUGAGAAUCCCGUCUGUGACUAGGAGUUCGCCGCGUACGAUCCGCGUUCGCAGAGUCGAGUUGUUUGGGAUUGCAGCUCUAAAUGGGUGGUAAAUUUCAUCUAAAGCUAAAUAUCGACGAGAGACCGAUAGCGAACAAGUACCGUGAGGGAAAGAUGAAAAGAACUUUGAAAAGAGAGUUAAAAAGUACUUGAAAUUGCUAAGAGGGAAGCACUGGAAACCAG